CCUACGGGCGGCAGCAGUGGGGAAUAUUGCACAAUGGGGGAAACCCUGAUGCAGCAACGCCGCGUGAAGGAAGAAGGCCUUUGGGUCGUAAACUUCUGUCCUUGGGGAAGAAAAAAAUGACGGUACCCUUGGAGGAAGCCCCGGCUAACUACGUGCCAGCAGCCGCGGUAAUACGUAGGGGGCGAGCGUUAUCCGGAAUUAUUGGGCGUAAAGGGUGCGUAGGUGGUUUUUUAAGCGCAGGGUCUAAUGCACAGGCUUAACUUGUGUCCGCCUUGCGAACUGAAGGACUUGAGUGCAGGAGAGGAAAGCGGAAUUCCUAGUGUAGCGGUGAAAUGCGUAGAUAUUAGGAGGAACACCAGUGGCGAAGGCGGCUUUCUGGACUGUAACUGACACUGAGGCACGAAAGCGUGGGUAGCAAACAGGAUUAGAUACCCCAGUAGUC
rnacentral:rRNA from 1 species